CGGCCACAGCUGGACUUCCUCUCGUCACCAUAUUUGGUGGUGAGUGGAAACGCCAACCAAAUGCUUCGGAUUUACACAUCCGGUGAAACAUCUGGCUCACUGUUCCAUCUGUGGCGUAAAGGUGUUCCCCUUGGACUCUAGCUGCUCUCGGAGGAGGUGGGUGGUGCAGUGGAGGAUGACCUCCGUCUGGACACAGACUGCGAUCGCUCAGGGCUGUGUUUGUUGUACGGCUGGAGCUGCACCUCCAAGAAGUCCCUGUGCUGCUGGCUGAUGACCUGGCUGAUGAGUCCUGGCAGGGCUUGCAGGUUCCCCAGCAAAGUCUCCAGCUUGGUCUCCAGCAGGGCGAUCCUCUUCUCCAUGUCCUCCCCUCUCUCGUUCAGGUCUGAGAUCAGGUCAUACAUGAUGUUCUGAGUCUGGAGGAGGAGAGACACUCAGUCAUAGUAAGAGGGUGAGACCCUUCCAGAGCAUGGGGUGUUUUAGGCUAGAAGUUGCAGGCAAUUGUAAAAUGAUUUGUUUAUUUACCUUAUUUUGUAUAUUUUAAGAACACAUUCUUAUUUACAAUGGCAAUCUGUCCAGAGCCAUUUGAGGGGCAAAUCCUAAUUUUGUCACAUUUUCACUUAGUCAUGGAUGUCAAAAGGCUAAGUGAAAGUUUGACUGAAAUGGAAGUUACGAGUUGCCCCUUAGUUGAAAAGAACCAGCAUGAAAUGUAUACUUCUUAAAAGGAACAGCUUGUGAAUAAUUUGAUUAUCAGUUGCAUCAUUCUAAGUAUCUAAUCAUGCCACUGUUUCCCACUACAACACUAAACUGUUCCCUGGAGAUGUAGAUUUUUUUCAGAUUAUUAGUCUGCCCUCCGUGGCAGAACUGAACUCAGUCUGCAGCAAUUCUCAGUGCUACAAGACAACUGUCUCUGUCUUUUCAACCAUCUUGAAAAAGUGUUAACGCACAGCUGAGUCAAUGUAGACUUAAUAAAUAUAAUAAAACG